rnacentral:rRNA from 1 species
GACGAACGCUGGCGGCGUGCUUAACACAUGCAAGUCGAACGGAGUUAAGACUUCGGUUUUAACUUAGCGGCGAACGGGUGAGUAACGCGUGAGGAACUUGCCUCUUAGACCGGGACAACAUCUGGAAACGGAUGCUAAUACCGGAUAUUAUGGUUUUUUCGCAUGGAGGAAUCAUGAAAGCUAGAUGCGCUAAGAGAGAGCUUUGCGUCCCAUUAGCUAGUUGGUAAGGUAACGGCCCACCAAGGCAAUGAUGGGUAGCCGGCCUGAGAGGGUGAACGGCCACAAGGGGACUGAGACACGGCCCUU